UCUCAAGUACUGAGAGUACAAGCUUGCCC
rnacentral:piRNA from 1 species